GGUGAGCAAGUCAAGGAAAACAGCAGCAGCCACAGAAACAGAACAAAAUCACCUCCUCUCACAGCUACACACACAAAUUAAUGUUUAAAAAGCCUGAAACUACUGCUCUUCAGAGAAAAAGGGAAAAAAAGAGCUUUGAAUAAUCUGAUUAAAGAGCAAACAGUGCCCUCUGGUGGUGACAUCAAUAACUAGUCCACAAUUUAAAGAGAAAAAUACUGGACUUCCUGUGAAAUAAAGUUUAGACAACUGUCGCCAUUCUGAAGAGUUUUAAUUAAAAUCAACAUUUUCAAUACGUCACUUUCCUCUCCAUCUUCUACUUACAGGUACUAAAAAUGUUUUUGUAACUAUAUCUGCAUAUCCUACUGCAUCACAAAUCAGGCGUUUGCUACAUUGCACAAGGUUCAUAGGUGUCUGUGCACCUGCUAGUCUAAAACUCAGAAAAUAAAUCAGAUUUCAGUCGUUUAAAAAUGUGGACAACAAGGGAAACGGUUUGAUCUUCCGGCUACCAAACACUAAAAUAGAGGUCUUGCAACUUUUAGAUGUUUCUCUGCUUCAACCCACCUGAGUGAAUUAAAGAGGUCAUCAGCAGGACUAUGGAGAACUGGACUGCAUACUGAAAGGCGGUUUAUGUAUUUGAUUCUGGCGUGUUGGAUCCAGGAAACACUUAAAAGCUGCAGGACACUGGACCUCGAGGACUGGAGUCAAGACCCCUGAUCUAGGGUUUCAGCACAAUUAAAAGGAAUAAAUAAAAAGAAAUGCAAAAACUUCAUAAAAUAAAUCAUUGCUUUUUCAAGGUUUUGAAAAAAUAUUUUGAGCUUUUAUAACCUCGAUAGUUUAAAAGUGGCUUUUCCAAAUAUGCUUUAGGUAAUCCUAGAAGUUAGCUUAAUAACAGGGAAAUCACUUGUAAAAAAAAAAAAAAACACAUUACCUUAUUUCAUAUUUUUUUUAACUUUAUAAAACGAUGUAUUUAAAUAUUUGAGAGCAGAAUACAGCUCAUGAUUUUUUGCUUUGCUGAUUACACAUGAGCAAAUUAAAAAAAAAAAAAAGCUAAAAGUUUCAUUUUUUGAUGCUUUACAUUUUGAAAAUCCUUUAUUCUGCAAGACCUUUUUUUUUUUAUCUUUAAACCUUUUACAGUGUACAUAACAAAAUGUAAAGUUGCUUGCUACCACUGAACUAAAAUAGACAAUUACUAAACUUCCCUUCCAUGAUUUCACAUUAAUUUUGUCAAAUUUUUAAAUAAACUGCUUUUGUAGGUCAGAAAUUUAAAUCUUUUUAAAGUCAUGGACAUUCAAUUAUUCUGGGGCAAAAGGACUAACAAUAAGUAGCACAGCUACUGUAAAACUAAGAGCAUUAAGAUAUAUAGAACAAAUCCCAGAGGUAUUUUUUUUCCUCCACAUAAUUAAGGUUUUUCCAUAGAACCUACCCAGGAUUACUUACCAUUAAGCUAAACUUUACUCCAAAUAUACAGUUUACAUUUACACUACAGCUUUAAACGUGAGUUUUCACAGGACUUCAAAUCAGUAUGUUUUGUUUUCCAGCAUCAUACCUGCUAUCCACAGGGAUCGUUUUUCUUUUUUUCACCCACCAAAAUAAAAUCUACUCACCAGGCUGUGCAAAGAACCAAGGCACCAGAAACUGAUCAUGGUGCAAAAAUAAAAAAAUGAAACAGGGGGUUAAAAAAACCCAUCUAAUAUAUAUAUAU